GACAGCAGCUGUGGAGAGGAAACAUGCACGCUCUGUAGGAGACCCUCCACAGACCUCUAAAAGGGAGUUUUUAGGACAUGGCAAGCCGAGGGGGAGAAUGCCCCCUUGGCGACGCCAAGCUGCAGCUACAGUCACACACACCCCGGUCGAAUGCUCCUUGUCAUCCAGUGUGGAGGUUCCACUUACUGUACCCUCAGCAGAACUCAAUCCUCAAGAGCAAUUUGAAAAAAAUAUGGAGAGGCUCUCCGAUAUUUUGACAUCUUAUCCUUCUGUUGAGCCUCAGAAAAGCUCUGCAUCAUCAUGGUCUUUUCGGCAGCAGAAAGCCUCAGAGUGCUGGAAAGAAGCAAGACCAUACCACCUAAAAUGCCUUCUUGCAACAGAGGCUGUUGGUCAGCCAUUGUGUUGGCUUU